CUCGUACUUCCUCCGUUCGGAAUUACUUGUCAUACAAAUGAAUGUAUCUAGAUAUAUUUAGUUCUAGAUAUAUCCAUUUUUAAGACAAAUAAUUUCGAACGGAGGGAGUACGUC
rnacentral:pre_miRNA from 1 species